GUCUCUGGGAUGGUUCAGUCAGUAGAACAUGAGACUCUUAAUCUCAAGGGUGGUGGGUUCAAGCUCCACGUUGGGCA